AGAUCUCUUUCCCCUUUUACGGC
rnacentral:miRNA from 1 species